rnacentral:sRNA from 12 species
UUGCGUUAGGGAUUGAAGUGGAAAUCCUUUUUAUUUUUCAUAAAAAGAUUGUAGCGUAAAGCCCGACCUUUU